rnacentral:rRNA from 1 species
AUUGAACGCUGGCGGCAGGCCUAACACAUGCAAGUCGAACGGUAACAGGAAACAGCUUGCUGUUUCGCUGACGAGUGGCGGACGGGUGAGUAAUGUCUGGGAAACUGCCUGAUGGAGGGGGAUAACUACUGGAAACGGUAGCUAAUACCGCAUAACGUCGCAAGCCCAAAGAGGGGGACCUUCGGGCCUCUUGCCAUCGGAUGUGCCCAGAUGGGAUUAGCUAGUAGGUGGGGUAACGGCUCACCUAGGCGACGAUCCCUAGCUGGUCUGAGAGGAUGACCAGCCACACUGGAACUGAGACACGGUCCAGACUCCUACGGGAGGCAGCAGUGGGGAAUAUUGCACAAUGGGCGCAAGCCUGAUGCAGCCAUGCCGCGUGUAUGAAGAAGGCCUUCGGGUUGUAAAGUACUUUCAGCGGGGAUGAAGGGAGUAAAGUUAAUACCUAUGCUCAUUGACGUUACCCGCAGAAGAAGCACCGGCUAACUCCGUG